GUCGUCUGGCAAUAAACUAGACUUCAUCGCAAUGGGAAGAGGAGAAUGCUUCUCGGGCAUUCUCGAGUAUAAUCGCGAGAAUUCAUAAUAUUUGCAGAGUGUAACGGAUUGUAAUAAACAAUUUUAAUAAUGGGACGGAUUGCUCGCGAGUAGCGGUGAAUUUGCGCGAGGGCACUCGAUAUCGACGAUUCUCGAUCAACUAUAAUACAACUCUCGACUUUAUGAAGCGCUGCAAUUGAGCACAAUUUAUACCUACGCUAUACACAGCGGGUGAAUACAUUGCCAGGGAUAUCAAAGGUGAAGGCAUUGUCAGGAAUUGAUCUUGGGAGAUGCGGACGUGCGAGAUGCGGUUUCGGUAUAACACUCACGGGUGUGUGCUCGGCGCCUUAUACAUAUUUCUGUGCACGUUUCGAUGCAGAGUUUUGACGCGCGUAUGCGUAUUGUUAACGGAGAUCGGAUUCGCCGAUAAACCGAUCCAAGGUUUAUCCUCGAUUCUUGUAUCCACACACGCAUAAUUUAUCGAUAUAGGAUAGACAGGUAAGAAUUGCUAGUUGUGAAUAUUAUUCCGCGUGUAGCAAUGAUGAUUUAAAAUAACAAUUCUCGCUGCACAAAACGGCAAAAAUCGCAUGUAGAAUAAAAUAACAUAUCCAUUUUACAAACGGUCAAUCUACCAUGUUUGUUUUACCUCGUCAAGUUACAUUUUUACUUAAUAUUCACGAAGAAUUUAAAACACAAUUUUCUGUAUAUUUGCGCGCGUUUUGCGAGCAGAAUUCUAGUUGGCAAUUAAACCAUCUACGUUUCCGCGUGAUCCGUCGCUAAUUUCGCGUAUAUGUACGCGUCAUAUUUUUGGCGAAGCCAAAAAGUAAACACGGCGCGACCGUGGAGUCAAGUAGCCCGCGUUGAAUCCAAAUCAAACACAGAGAAUGGUAAUGAAGGAUCCACCUGCGAUAUACGCUAAGUUUCGCAAUCAGCCACGGAUUAGAGUUUCGCCGAUUACGUGCGGAACGCUUCAGCGCCGCUUCGCACUUAAACAUCGAUGGCUAACGCCGAACGGCGAUAUCUCGUCGAUUUGUCGAUUGUCGGUACAAAUCAGCGUCAGCGGUCUGCCUUUCGAACGCGCAUAAGCAUUUCAACGCAAUAAAACGGAAUGUCCAAUGCUUUUUGCGAACUGAUACGGAUUGAUGUGCGCUCUCGAAAAGUCCAAAGUGUUUGAGCGUAAAAGUUUCACGAUCGCCGAGUCUUGUCGCCGAUAAAACUACGAUGGAAAAAUUCGCUAAAAUGAAACUCGCUCUAAUUUCGAUUCGGCAAUCCACCGAAUGGAAUAUUUAUCCGCUUCUUUAUGGUCCCGAAUGAAAUUCAUUACCGUUUAAUUUCUGCACGAUACGAUUGCGGCCAAAAAAGGAGAACCACGUCUCUAAAUCAAAGGGAAUUUCAUUGCAACGUACCGAAGGGAGAGCGCGGGGAUUAUUAUUUAUGGUCGCACGUCCAACGCGCGCGUUUUUUUUGGGGCUGUAUUUUUAUCAUGGCCUCAUAAGCGCGUAGAUAUUUAUAUCGUAAAUACGUAUCCGAGUGUGAUCAUAAAUUUCGCGUGAUACAAUUACGGCGUGACUGCACUCCCGAUGUACGCGUCAUAAAAAUGGAGGCCCCUAUUCUUGAGUUAUAGCAAGCACGCUACUGGUUCUUAAUUAAAAUAUCGCGCACGAGAUAUGCAUGCAGCCACGGUUACCGAUUUUGCACAACGAAUUACGAGAGAAUCUCUUCAUUGUUAUCAUGCGAAUUUUUGCCAAGUCGCUCUAGCCAGCGCGACAAUUUAUUGCAAUACCAGCCACAAUCAUUUUGCACGUGAAUUAAAUAUUAGAGCGUAUUCUCUAUUGAUUUUAUAUCAACAAUUAAGUAAUUUUCGAAGAAUAACGAUGUAUAGAAUAUUUAAAAAAGGGUGAGAUUUUAAAGGAUACAUAAUAAAUCAAAGCAUCUUUAUAUUUUGAAAAAUCUUAUGGAACAAAUUAUACCAUCAAAAUUAAAAUUACACACUGUUAGAAUCGGAAUAUAUAAUCAGUAGAUUUUAGGCAGAUGCGAAGGAUGACAGAUUUGAUUGGAGUCUCGUCGAAUUGUCUUCGAUCCCGCCCUUUUUUUUAUUCCCGCGCGAAACCUCACACAGAGAUGUUGAAACCCGACUUGCGGCGUGGGCGUUGACGCGAUUUGCAAAGAAAGCACCUGCGCGUACACAUUCAGCGGGAUGAGGCGUCGGGAUGUGAGACGGCAAACAAAAAGGUUGCCGACCCCGUUGGGAGCGGUCGAGAACACUCCGGGAAGGCGCAGUGCGCGCCCGGAAAUGCGCCUUUCGCGAAAGCACGAGGGAAAAUUUUCGCUCCCUCGCUCCUUCGGGCGCGAGCGCGACCCGUUUCAACCUCGUUUAAAUUCUCGCCGGCCGAGUAAUGCGGAAGAAAAUUAAGGAAAUGAAAACGGAUGAUGCGAAAACGUAAACACACCAUCUCGCUGCGGCCGGACGCGGAAAACUUGCCUCGACGGGAGAUAUCUCUCCGUUUUUUCGGAGUUUCUGAAACGCGCCCGGCGCGUUUCCCUCCCGCGCGAGUUUUCUCGUCACGACGAUAAAGCGCCGAAAGAAUUGCGCGAUAAAAAGUAUGAAAUUGCUGCUUUACGAGACAGGAUCGCGCACGAUCGUGCGAUGCCCGUGUUAUUUUAUUAGAAAAUACACGCGCCGGAGAUAGUUGGCAAAGUGCGCGCGGUUCUUGGAAGGGCGAUUCUGUUGUCGCAGAAAUCCCAUUCUGUUUGGAUAAUUGACGCGCGGAGCACACGCGGCGCGAAAUAUUGCGGUGUUGCGUUUACCUCAGAGCAUCGCAAUUAUCCCGAUUAAUCAUACAUGGCUUGUAUAACGAACUGCGAGUUCAUUAAACAGCCUAUCAGCGGCUCUCCGAUUAACGAUGCAAAUUGGUACGUCGACUUGUCCACGCAGAUGCGACCGUUCCAUACAAAUCGACGCGAUAUCGCAAUGCGCGAACCUUCCCGAUACGACUUCGUCAUGCAACUGCGAAAGCAGUGACCGUAUGACCGUUACACGAGUAUCGCCGCGCCACUGGAAAAUAUACCUCUGACGAAAAUAGGGUUGGUAUCGCGAAGUUGCACGCAGCGCAUCGCCACGAUCACCUGUAAAGGAACUCGAACAAUAAGCCUCUUUCAAUUCCGACACGCGAUACGAUGCAUUGCACUCGGCGAAACACGGGUGCACUUUAAUCUAGUCUAGAGUCCUAAUGCACAAUAUGAAAUCACAACGCUCGGAAGAUUUGAUUAAAUUGGCGCAAACAAAACGUGUCCCACUUGUAUAACUAUUCGAAACUAUUCGAAAAAAACAUGCCAAUUAAAGUUGGAUUUUAUAAUCAUAUUUGUACGUAUUGAGCGAUUGUGACUCGAUUCAAAUCGAUUGUCUAUUAAUUUACGAACAGAAAACGAUUCUUGGCGCCUAACAAAUUUUGUUUUCGAUUCCAUCUCGUGUAUGCAUCGCUAAAAUAAAUCACGUUACUUUCUACUUUGAAUAAUCAUACCAUUGUGUAACUCAAUGCGACUUUGAUUAUCGUAAAAUCCAAAAUAUUCUCUUGAAUCAUUUUGACGAUUAAAAAGCGUCGCUGUUUUAUUACCGUCAAUUUAUCAUAUUUAUCGAUAACGUGCGAAAUGAUUUAAUAACGAGACGGCUGAUACUAGGCACGUGUAAGGCAGAUAAGUGUAAUCAUUUGCAGCUUCAUAAUCAAAUAAAUGUAGCUUUAGACACGUGCAAGGUCGCCCGGCAACCGUACAACACUCUAAAUACUUUUUUUUACAAUUUGCCGAAUAAAGCCGCUUUAUUGCUCGCUAAAACACUCCAAUAACGAGGCAGCCCUUCGGCAAGCCCUAUGACCCCCCCCCCCCCC